rnacentral:pre_miRNA from 1 species
AUAGUACUCCCUCCGUUCCAAAUUACUCGUCGCAUAAAUGGAUGUAUCUAGAACUAAAAUACAUCUAGAUACAUCCAUACCUGCGACAAGUAAUUUGGAACGGAGGGAGUAGCAU